UACGAAGGGAGCUAGCGUUGUCCGGAAUUAUUGGGCGUAAAGCGCGCGCAGGCGGUCCCUUAAGUCUGAUGUGAAAGCCCACGGCUCAACCGUGGAGGGUCAUUGGAAACUGGGGGACUUGAGUACAGAAGAGGAAAGCGGAAUUCCACGUGUAGCGGUGAAAUGCGUAGAGAUGUGGAGGAACACCAGUGGCGAAGGCGGCUUUCUGGUCUGUAACUGACGCUGAGGCGCGAAAGCGUGGGGAGCAAACAGG
rnacentral:rRNA from 1 species